CCCCGGGACGGCCGGCGCCGGGGCGGCCGGUCCCGGAACGGCCGGCCUCCGGACGGCUGGACGUUCGGGUCGGGCCCGGGACCGGGCCCGGGACC
rnacentral:tRNA from 1 species